rnacentral:lncRNA from 1 species
UACCCUCCACAAUAUGGGGCAUACCCUCCACAACAAGGGUACCUGUCUGGUGGGUAUCCUCCUGGUGCCUACCCAUCUUCUGGUUACCCACAUACUGGGUCCCAUGGACACGGCGGCAUAGGAGGAAUGCUUGCUGGAGGUGCGGCUGCCGCCGCUGCUGCCUACGGUGCUCACCAUGUCUCCCACGGAGGCUAUGGCGGCUACGGAGGCCAUGGCAGCUAUGGAGCUCAUGGUGGCUAUGGACAAGUUGCUCACAUGCCCCAUGGAAAAUUCAAGAACCAUGGCAAGUUCAAGCAUGGAAAAUUUGGCAAGCAUGGUGGGUCGUACAAGAAGUGGAAGUAAGGAACGUAUAUGGAACCAUGACUCCAAAAAUUGUUGCAUAGUUCUUAUAGCUUUAUAAAUAAACUAUGCUUAGUAUGAUGGAGGCACAUCAUACUAAGUUGACACUCUCUUGCUUGAGUUCUUGGUGACAGCAAAAACAUUGACAAAUUAAUGCCUACUUUGUUUGUUUGUUGUGUAAUACUAUGAUCAUUUUAUUACCUAAGUUGGUUUUUGUUUUAUUUUUACAUCAUAUGAAACUUCUUUUGAUCAGUAUUACAUUGUUUUCACAUGUCACAAGUGCACAACA